rnacentral:rRNA from 1 species
UACGGAGGAUCCAAGCGUUAUCCGGAAUCAUUGGGUUUAAAGGGUCCGUAGGCGGUCUUAUAAGUCAGUGGUGAAAUCUCCCCGCUCAACGGGGAAACGGCCAUUGAUACUGUAGGACUUGAAUUAUUAGGAAGUAACUAGAAUAUGUAGUGUAGCGGUGAAAUGCUUAGAGAUUACAUGGAAUACCAAUUGCGAAGGCAGGUUAAUACUAAUGGAUUGACGCUGAUGGACGAAAGCGUGGGUAGCGAACAGG